rnacentral:lncRNA from 1 species
UUCUUCUCUUUCUCUUUUUGGUAUGAUUUUUGAAGUUUUUUAGAGAAUAGGUGGUGGUUUAGUUAAAAUAACCAUGAUAUGAACAAUAAUAGGAUAAAUGAUUUCUAAUUGACAUCGUGAAUCUUAGGAUUUGUAUAUAUUGGCAUAGUAUUAGCAUUUGUUUCAUUUUGUUGCGUUUUUAAUUCUCCUUUCUAUCAUUAGUAGAAUAUUCACAUCU